rnacentral:misc_RNA from 1 species
GCAAACUUGGUCAUUUAGAGGAAGUAAAAGUCGUAACAAGGUCUCCGUAGGUGAACCUGCGGAGGGAUCAUUACAGAGUGUUCGUGCCCUCGUGGGCAGACCUCCCACCCACUGUCUAUCGCUACGAUCGUUUGCUUUGGCGGGCCGCCGAGCCCCGCUCGGCCACGCGCCCGCCAGAGGCACCCCGGACUCUAGAUAUUAGCGUCGUCUGAGUGUCACAUAAUUGUCAAAACUUUCAACAACGGAUCUCUUGGUUCUGGCAUCGAUGAAGAACGCAGC